GAGAUGCAGUCUGAAUGUUCACGGUGGCUUCUGACGUGGCAGCGUGAAUUCUCAGCUGGGCAGUGCUGAGGAUUGAACCCAUGGCCUCGUUGCAUGUCAGGGCUCCAGUGCAGAUUUAGAUCCACCUUCUGGAUGCUUUGGUCCCUGGAACAAGGCAGCAGGCUCUUGCUAUCAAGAACCUGUCCCUGAGAAGGUGCUGGGAACAUUAAAUCUUCAUGUCUGGAGGACAAGAAAACUAAAAGUACUCAUUGUUCAGUAGCUACUGAGGCUGAUGAGAGGCGGGACUGUGGAUUCACGUGGCUGACGAUGACUGGUCUUCCUGGCCAUAUUGCUUUCUCGUUCUUUUAUCAAGUACAGACAUGGCGCCUGCCUGGAGUGGUGGUAUGAGUGCCCAAUCUCAAGGAAACAACCAAGGCCACCUGUUCCCAUUUUUUUAAUUGCUGUUGUUACAUGUGUAUAUGUGACAUAUGUGCAUGUAUGUUCAUGUGUUUGUGGGUACA
ensembl:lincRNA A330102I10Rik RIKEN cDNA A330102I10 gene